UACGAAGGGUGCAAACGUUGCUCGGAAUCAUUGGGCGUAAAGCGCACGUAGGCGGCUCCAAAAGUCGGAUGUGAAAUCCCUGGGCUCAACCGAGGAAGUGCAUCCGAAACUGCGGAGCUUGAGUAUGGAAGAGGGUCGCGGAAUUCCCGGUGUAGAGGUGAAAUUCGUAGAUAUCCGGAGGAACACCAGUGGCGAAGGCGACACGCUGGGCCGUACCUGACACUGAUGCGCGACAGCAUGGGGAGCAAACAGG
rnacentral:rRNA from 1 species